rnacentral:rRNA from 1 species
AUUGAACGCUGGCGGCAUGCCUUACACAUGCAAGUCGAACGGUAACAGGUUAAGCUGACGAGUGGCGAACGGGUGAGUAAUACAUCGGAACGUGCCCAGACGUGGGGGAUAGCUCGGCGAAAGCCGGAUUAAUACCGCAUAAGCUCUGAGGAGGAAAGCGGGGGACCGUAAGGCCUCGCGCGUUUGGAGCGGCCGAUGGCAGAUUAGGUAGUUGGUGGGGUAAAGGCUUACCAAGCCUACGAUCUGUAGCUGGUCUGAGAGGACGACCAGCCACACUGGGACUGAGACACGGCCCAGACUCCUACGGGAGGCAGCAGUGGGGAAUUUUGGACAAUGGGCGCAAGCCUGAUCCAGCAAUGCCGCGUGCAGGAUGAAGGCCUUCGGGUUGUAAGCUGCUUUGUACGGAACGAAAAGGCGCCUACUAAUACUGGGUGUUGAUGGCGGUACCGUAAGAAUAAGCACCGGCUAACUACGUGCCAGCCGCCGCAGUAAGAC